rnacentral:rRNA from 1 species
GACGAACGCUGGCGGCGUGCCUAAUACAUGCAAGUCGAACGCUUCUUUCCUCCCGAGUGCUUGCACUCGAUUGGGAAGGGGAGGGGCGGACGGGGGAGUAACACGUGGGUAACCUACCCAUCAGCGUGGGAUAACACUUGCAAACAGGUGCUAAUACCGCAUAACAGUUUAUGCAGCAUGGCAUAAGAGUGAAACGGGCUCUCGGGGGUGGUUGCGCGCUGGAUCCGCGCUGCAUUAGCUAGUUGGUGAGGUAACGGCUCACCAAGGCAACGAUGCAUAGCCGACCUGAGAGGGUGAUCGACCACACUGGGACUGAGACACGGCCCAGACUCCUACGGGAGGCAGCAGUAGGGAAUCUUCGGCAAUGGACGAAAGUCUGACCGAGCAACGCCGCGUGAGUGAAGAAGGUCUUCGGAUCGUAAAACUCUGUUGUUAGAGAAGAACAAGUACGUUAGUAACUGAACGUCCCCUGACGGUAUCUAACCAGAAAGCCACGGCUAACUACGUG